UACAGAGGGUGCAAGCGUUGUUCGGAAUUAUUGGGCGUAAAGCGCGUGUAGGCGGCUUUGCAAGUCGGGUGUGAAAUCCCUCGGCUCAACCGAGGAAGUGCGCCCGAAACUGCAGAGCUUGAGUACCGGAGAGGAUGGCGGAAUUCCCGAAGUAGAGGUGAAAUUCGUAGAUAUCGGGAGGAACACCGGUGGCGAAGGCGGCCAUCUGGACGGAUACUGACGCUGAGACGCGAAAGCGUGGGUAGCAAACAGG
rnacentral:rRNA from 1 species